rnacentral:rRNA from 1 species
GACGUAGGGGGCAAGCGUUGUCCGGAAUCAUUGGGCGUAAAGCGCUCGUAGGUGGAUCGGUAAGUCUGCAAAGAAAGACCCGGGCUCAACUCGGGGAACGGUGUGGAUACUACCGAUCUUGAGGCAAUCAGAGGAUGAUGGAAUUCCCGGUGUAGCGGUGAAAUGCGUAGAUAUCGGGGAGGAACACCAGUGGCGAAGGCGAUCAUCUGGGGUUGUUCUGACACUGAGGAGCGAAAGCUAGGGGAGCAAACGGG